UACGGAGGGUGCAAGCGUUGUCCGGAUUUAUUGGGUUUAAAGGGUGCGUAGGCGGGACUUUAAGUCAGCGGUGAAAGUCUGGGGCUCAACCCCGGGAGUGCCGAUGAUACUGUGGUCCUUGAGUGUUGACGGGGUACAUGGAAUUUAUGGUGUAGCGGUGAAAUGCAUAGAUACCAUAAGGAACACCGAUAGCGAAGGCAUUGUACUGGUCAACAACUGACGCUGAGGCACGAAAGCGUGGGUAGCGAACAGG
rnacentral:misc_RNA from 1 species